rnacentral:lncRNA from 1 species
GAGUAAAAGCUAAUUAUAUUGUUCGAUUAAGCCCCGAGAGUGUAAAUUUGGAACGAAUCGAUGUCAACGUUCACAAGAACCAAAACCGGAACAACAUUAGACUACUCAGUUGCGCCCUAACAGUAUAACUUUGCAAUGAGUACUUUUUCUCAUUUAAUCGAACAAAGAGUAAAACCUAAUUAAAUUGUUUGAUUAAGCCCCGAGAGUGUAAAGUUGGAACGAAUAGAUAUCAACGUUCACACAAACCAAAAUCGGAACAACAUUAGACUACUCACUUACACCCUAACAGUAUAAAUUUGCAACCAGUACUUUUUCUCAUUCUAUCGAACAAAGAGAAAAAGCUAAUUAUAUUGUUCUAUUAUGCCCCGAGAGUGUAAAUUUGGAACGAAUUGAUGUCAACGUUCACAAGAAUCAAAACCGGAACCACAUUAGACUGCUCACUUGCGCCCUAACAGUAUAACUUCGCAACAACUACUUUUUCUCAUUCAAUCGAACAAAUAGUAAAACCUAAUUAUAUUGUUCUAU